AGCGGCGCACUCCACGUCAUGUGACGCUGUACAAAAGAAAAGGAGGAAUUAGCCGCGCGCCCGCGGUGCGGCAGUGUGGAGACCUGUCGUAAUACGGUGCGAUGCACCGGGAGGCACUCUGGCGGAGGCCGUUGUGUCAGGGCGUAAAAACAUGGCA
rnacentral:ncRNA from 1 species